AAAUGUUAAAAACUAUUUAAUUAAUGUUAGCAAAGAAUGACAUUUUUACUUAUAAAGAGAUAAAUAACUUAUGUUUAUCACCUGGAAUAGAGAAAAAAAAUGGCUCAAAUUCUCAUGUUUUUUUAUUCUUUGAUCAUCUUUAUUUCUCUAUUAACUUCCCACCCAUGCAUUUCUGAUGAUGAUUGUCCAGAGGCGUUAUCUCCUCAAUUUCCAAAGUGCAUUCAUAAUGUUUGUGUGUACUUUGUGGAGGAGUAAGAAUUAAGCUUAAAAAUAGUAAUGUUACCUCCAUGUGUGUAAUUUUAUUUGUAUUUCAAAAUGUUUGUACCUGUAUAAUUUACUUCAACAUUAAUUCAUGUUUUUGUAUCAAUUUAAUUUUUAUAUAAAUAUUCUUAUCUUUGUUGUUCA